GAUGAACGCUGGCGGCGCGCCUAACACAUGCAAGUCGAACGGUUAAAGCACCUUUUAGGUGUGUAUAAAGUGGCGAACGGCUGAGUAACACGUGGGCAACCUGCCCUCCUCUUGGGGAUAGCCUCGGGAAACCGAGGAUAAUACCCGAUACUUCAAUGUGGCCGCAUGACGACAUUGAGAAAGCUUUUGCGGAGAAGGAUGGGCCCGCGGCCUGUUAGCUUGUUGGUGGGGUAGAGGCCUACCAAGGCAAUGAUGGGUAGCUGGGUUGAGAGACCGACCAGCCAGAUUGGGACUGAGACACGGCCCAGACUCCUACGGGAGGCAGCAGUGGGGAAUCUUGCACAAUGGGCGAAAGCCUGAUGCAGCGACGCCGCGUGCGGGAAGAAGGCCUUCGGGUUGUAAACCGCUUUCAGCAGGGACGAGGCGUAAGUGACGGUACCUGCAGAAGAAGCCCCGGCUAACUACGUGCCAGCAGCCGCGGUAAUACGUAGGGGGCAAGCGUUAUCCGGAUUCAUUGGGCGUAAAGCGCUCGUAGGCGGUCUGUUAGGUCGGGAGUUAAAUCCGGAGGCUCAACCUCCGCCCGCUCCCGAUACCGGCAGACUUGAGUUUGGUAGGGGAAGGUGGAAUUCCUAGUGUAGCGGUGGAAUGCGCAGAUAUUAGGAAGAACACCAGUGGCGAAGGCGGCCUUCUGGGCCAUAACUGACGCUGAGGAGCGAAAGCUAGGGGAGCAAACAGG
rnacentral:rRNA from 1 species